UUUGAACUGUUCAUUUCCAUUUAUCUUAUUUGAUUUUUUUUAUGAUUAGUAUUUUUAUUGUUAUUAGAUGAUAAAACAUUAAUAGUAUUUUAUGUGUGAUUUUUUUAAAAAAAAUUUAUAAUAUUUUAAAAUAAGACGGACGUUAAAUGUUGGACACAGAUUCUUACGGCUGCACUUAUU
rnacentral:pre_miRNA from 1 species